CUGUCAAAGAACUGGCCACUGCAGUGACGGCUCUUUCUGGAUCUCCAACUUGCUAGUUCGCCUCCUGAUUCGGGACUUGCUGGCCUCCAAAACUAUUUCCACUUAUUGGAGUGAUAUUCUGAGCUGGCUGCAAGGUAUAGGACUUACAUGUGAGAGAGCAGGAUGACAUGGACAUUUGCUGAGUGCUUACCAUAGACCAAGCUCUUGCUGUGAAUGGUUUCCCACAUUCCUUACAACAAACUGAAGAAAGAAAAACAUCACUCUCCCUGAUGUAGAAAUGAGGACCUGAGACUUCCUGAGAGCUCAUAUAUCAAAAGCCAGGAUUUCAAGCUGGAUCUAACUCUAAAACAUGUGUUCUUCCCACUGCACUGUGAUACUUUCUUUUAGACUCUGAAACUAUAUAAGAAGGACCAGAGGGAGAGAAUUCCUUCAGAGGGAAGUAUCUAAUAUUAUUUCAAAUAUGUUUACAUACCUUGUUAGGAAAUCUACAUGAUGCAAAAUGCACCUCUUUUUUUUUUUUUAACAAAAAUCUCUUCUAUAUUCCAAUUUGCAUUUUAUAUUUGAAACAGCUUAACUAGAAAGUUGCAGCUUAAUGGCUGCAAAGGACCAAUGGAAAUUGCUGCUUUUGAUACAAUAAAAUCUGCAACACUCUUGGUGA